AACGAACGCUGGCGGCAGGCUUAACACAUGCAAGUCGAACGCCCCGCAAGGGGAGUGGCAGACGGGUGAGUAACGCGUGGGAACGUACCUUUCGCUUCGGAAUAUUCCCGGGAAACUGGGAGCAAUGUCGAAUACGCCGUAUUGGGAAAGAUUUAUCGGCGAAAGAUCGGCCCGCGUUAGAUUAGCUAGUUGGCGGUGUAAUGGACCACCAAGGCUACGAUCUAUAGAUGGUCUGAGAGGAUGAUCAGCCACACUGGGACUGAGACACGGCCCAGACUCCUACGGGAGGCAGCAGUGGGGAAUCUUGGACAAUGGGCGCAAGCCUGAUCCAGCCAUGCCGCGUGAGUGAAGAAGGCCUUAGGGUUGUAAAACUCUUUCGCCGGAGAAGAUAAUGACGGUAUCCGGAGAAGAAGCCCCGGCUAACUUCGUGCCAGCAGCCGCGGUAA
rnacentral:rRNA from 1 species